rnacentral:rRNA from 1 species
UACGUAGGGGGCAAGCGUUGUCCGGAUUUAUUGGGCGUAAAGAGCGUGUAGGCGGCCAAGCAGGUCAGCUGUGAAAACUCGAGGCUCAACCUCGAGACGUCGGUUGAAACCGCUUGGCUAGAGUCCGGAAGAGGAGAGUGGAAUUCCCGGUGUAGCGGUGAAAUGCGCAGAUAUCGGGAAGAACACCGGUGGCGAAGGCGGCUCUCUGGGACGGUACUGACGCUGAGACGCGAAAGCGUGGGGAGCGAACAGG